AUUUAGUCUUGAUUAUGUGCUAAUCAUGAAGCUUGGAUAUCUUGGUUUGUUGCAUCUCAUUUUUAUAAUAUAUCUUAAGGGUACAAACCUAAAUAAGCUAAGAUGAGGAUUUGAUCACCCUUAGUCCACAAACCACAGCCUUCAUUUGCAUUAAUCUAGGUCUUAAAAUAAAAUCAACUAGACCCUGACCCUAGAGACAUUCGAGCUCACUUGGACAAGGCACCC
rnacentral:lncRNA from 1 species